CCACCGUGCAACAUCAACCCUACACGAAGUGUAGCUUUGGCUAUUGCCGAGUGCUGACUCUACUAUCCAGCGAUGGAGCCCAGAGUCCACGUUGCCUGUGUGUACGUGUGGACUCGCGGCCAAGACCCCGGGGACCAGAGUGAGAGAUUUUGCCUCAAAAGGAGUAGCCAGGUCCCAGAGAUGGGAGCAAAGCUUUAACUCAAGCACGGAAAAGACAAUAAAGAGAAAGUUGAUCCCC
rnacentral:lncRNA from 1 species